rnacentral:lncRNA from 1 species
AAAUAGAUAUAGGAAGAUGUGGUGUGAGUGCCAAUGAGACAACUCUCCAUCCAAAUGACAAUUUAAAAAAAGUAAACUAUUAUAGGUCAAUGUAUGGCCUUCAACACGGAGCCUUGGUUCGCACCGAACAACAAGCUAUAAAAAGCCCCAAAAUUACUAGUGUAAAACCAUUCAAACGGGAAAACCAACGGUCUAAUCUAUAUAAAAUUAAAAAAACGAGAAACGAGAAACACGUAUAAAUUACAUUAACAAACGACAACUACUGUACAUCAGAUUCCUGACUUAGGACAGGUGCAAACAUUUGCAGCGGGAUUAAACGUUUUAAUGGAUCCAAACCUUCUCCCUUUUUCUGAAACAAUAGCAUAACAUCACAACAUAGAACAACACACGGUAAAAUAUCAAUUGACAG